rnacentral:rRNA from 1 species
UACGAGGGGGGCGAGCGUUGUUCGGAAUUAUUGGGCGUAAAGGGUGCGUAGGCGGCCUGACAAGUCUGAUGUGAAAUCCCUGGGCUCAACCCAGGGCCUGCAUCGGAAACUGUCGGGCUUGAGUAUGGGAGAGGUGAGUGGAAUUUCCGGUGUAGCGGUGAAAUGCGUAGAUAUCGGAAGGAACACCCGUGGCGAAGGCGGCUCUCUGGGACGGUACUGACGCUGAGACGCGAAAGCGUGGGGAGCGAACAGG